UACAGAGGGUGCAAGCGUUAAUCGGAAUUACUGGGCGUAAAGGGCGCGUAGGUUGUAGAUUAAGUGAGAUGUGAAAUCCCUGGGCUUAACCUAGGAACUGCAUCUCAUACUGGUAAACUAGAGUAUUGUAGAGGGUAGUGGAAUUUCCGGUGUAGCGGUGAAAUGCGUAGAGAUCGGAAGGAACACCAGUGGCGAAGGCGGCUACCUGGACAAAUACUGACACUGAAGCGCGAGAGCGUGGGGAGCAAACAGG
rnacentral:rRNA from 1 species